rnacentral:pre_miRNA from 1 species
CGAAGUUGAGGUGUCAGAAGGCAACACUCUUGAAGCAUCUCCACCAUGGCCUGGACUCUGCUUCUCCUGACUUUCCUCACUCAGGGCUCUGGUGA